GAAAAAGAGAGAGGGUGGGGUGAUGGACAGGCUUGUGGUAUGGCUUCUACUGGUCGUAGAGGUAGCCCAAGAAAAAUACAGGUCAGUAGCUCAAUCUAGGUGCACCGUCACAGCUCUCAGCUACUACUACUCAUCUUCUUCUUCCUCAUCCUCCUACACCCAUGGCACUACCAACCGUUACUGCCACUGCUAACCACGUGGUUUUUUUCCCUAUUUCAAGGGAUGUUACAAUAGCCCUUUUACAUGUUUUGUCACCCAUCACCAUGAUCUUGACCCUAGGUUCCCGCUUACAUCCUCAGCCUGUUUCUCAGUGUCAUUAGUCUUAACCUCAAGUAGACUCAUCUCCAUCCAAGCUUGAUGAUCAGCCUGUGGCCUAUGACACCAGCAAUACCAAAUAGGAGUUGCGUUUUGAUGGCAAUAACUGAAGUACAAUGCUUGGCAUAUUGGGGUAGCCAAGUGCUUCUGGGACAUGUUCUCCGACAUCCAUCGCAAGAGAGUCUGAUAGAUUGGAUUCCUUUGGAAAUUCUUGCUCUGUUGAAGGAGUACUAAGCCACAGAGGAUAACAACCGCACAAGGGCCAAGGUCAGGCCACUAGUGGAUUAUUGCACACUAGCAGCUCCAUUAGAUAUGCUACUACGUCAAUGAAAAUGGAGAACGAAUCUGGCCACCCACUUAGUAGGAGCGAGCUUUUUAAGCAAGUCCAUACACGAGAAAGCGGAUCGUAGGAAGUGGGUUGAUAGGGUUUAUCUUGUGUUGAAUUUAGUCGAUUUUAUCAACUUAUUUCACCUUUAUUCAAUGAAAUAGCAUGGUUUUGUGAAUUUCUCAUGAAUUUUGCUCAAGAUUAAAAACAUGCUAUUUGAGCUCUUAAUUUGCUAAAUUUAAUUCACUUUAAUUCCAUUCGAUGCCUUGAUGUGUUUGAUGAAGUGAUUUCAAGUUUAGAAGGCAAAGAUUGGGUUGAAGGAAUAAAGAAAAAGCAUGUAAAAGUGGAAAAUUCAUGAAGAAAUGAAGUUUUGAAAAUCUGCCCAGUUUUGCGUAUGCGUGAUUAGAGUUUUCGUCCAGCGACGCGUAUGCAUGACCCACGCGUAUGCGUGACAAGCAGCACGUGACCAACUUAAAGAAACACGCUGGGGGCGAUUUCUGAGCUCAUUGAGGUCCAAAUCCAACUCAAUUCUGAAGUAUUUGAGGCCAAAUUCAAGAAGGAACCAGGGGGAGCAAUAAGUAUAAGUUAGAAACAUGUUUUAGGGUAGUUUUCUAAAGAGAGAAGCUCCCUGUUCUCUCUAGAAUUAUGGUAGAUUUAGGUUUUAAUCUUGUCUUGAUUUAGUUUU